AUUGAACGCUGGCGGCAUGCCUAACACAUGCAAGUCGAACGGUAACAGGCCCGCAAGGGUGCUGACGAGUGGCAGACGGGUGAGUAAUACGUAGGAAUCUGCCCUGUAGUGGGGGAUAGCCCGGCGAAAGCCGGAUUAAUACCGCAUACGCUCUACGGAGGAAAGCGGGGGAUCGCAAGACCUCGCGCUAUUGGAUGAGCCUACGUCUGAUUAGCUAGUUGGUAGGGUAACGGCCUACCAAGGCGACGAUCAGUAGCUGGUCUGAGAGGAUGAUCAGCCACACCGGAACUGAGGCACGGUCCGGACUCCUACGGGAGGCAGCAGUGGGGAAUAUUGGACAAUGGGGGAAACCCUGAUCCAGCAAUGCCGCGUGUGUGAAGAAGGCCUGCGGGUUGUAAAGCACUUUUGUUGGGGAAGAAAAGCCGUCGGCGAAUAUCCGGCGGUCUUGACGGUACCCAAAGAAUAAGCACCGGCUAACUCCGUGCCAGCAGCCGCGGUAAUACGGGA
rnacentral:rRNA from 1 species